UACGGAGGGUGCAAGCGUUAUCCGGAUUCACUGGGUUUAAAGGGUGCGUAGGUGGGCAGGUAAGUCAGUGGUGAAAUCUCCGGGCUUAACUCGGAAACUGCCGUUGAUACUAUCUGUCUUGAAUAUCGUGGAGGUUAGCGGAAUAUGUCAUGUAGCGGUGAAAUGCUUAGAUAUCGUCAAGAACACCUAUAGCGAAGGCAGCUUACUAGGCUGUAACUGACGCUGAGGCACGAAAGUGUGGGGAUCAAACAGG
rnacentral:rRNA from 1 species